UACGGAGGAUCCAAGCGUUGUCCGGAUUUAUUGGGUUUAAAGGGUGCGUAGGCGGGUUAUUAAGUCAGUGGUGAAAGCCGGCAGCUCAACUGUCGAACUGCCAUUGAAACUGAUAGCCUUGAAUCUAGUAGAGGUAGGCGGAAUGUAUCAUGUAGCGGUGAAAUGCUUAGAUAUGAUACAGAACACCGAUUGCGAAAGCAGCUUACUAUGCUAGUAUUGACGCUGAGGCACGAAAGCGUGGGGAUCAAACAGG
rnacentral:rRNA from 1 species